rnacentral:rRNA from 1 species
AUGACCCACAAACCUGAUGCUCCCUUCUUGAAUAACCCAAUUGAGCACUACCAUGCCAUGGCGACCAUUUUUGGAACAACCGGGGCUAAGGGGAUGAAUGCAAGGUCUGGAAAUGAUCUCCUCUCUAUUGAUGUUGAUGAUGAGGAGAAUGGUGAGGUGAAUGGUGAGAUCAACAUGUCACCACAAGUUGGUGAGUCUGCUCACCCCAAAGGACCACCAAAAAAGAAGGCCAAGGUGGUGAAAGUUCUAGAGGAUCCACUAGGUGCCAUUCUCAAAGAUGGGUUUAAACUUGUUGCUGAAGCUCUUGUGAAAUCUGGUGGAGAUGAUGAUGAUAUACCCGAUGAUCUUUCAGAUGUAGUCUCCAAUUUGAAAGAAUUUGAUGAAGAGCACCUUGCCCACUACUAUGCUCAUCUUGUUGACAACCCCAAGACCGCAAGAGCCUUCAUGAAACUCUCUGAAACCAACAAAUCUAUUUGGGUGAGUAGGUAUGUGAAGAAAAACUUCUAA